AUUGAACGCUGGCGGCAUGCUUUACACAUGCAAGUCGAACGGUAACAGGCCGCAAGGUGCUGACGAGUGGCGAACGGGUGAGUAAUGCAUCGGAACGUGCCCAGUCGUGGGGGAUAACUACUCGAAAGAGUAGCUAAUACCGCAUACGAUCUAUGGAUGAAAGCGGGGGACCGUAAGGCCUCGCGCGAUUGGAGCGGCCGAUGUCAGAUUAGGUAGUUGGUGGGGUAAAGGCUCACCAAGCCAACGAUCUGUAGCUGGUCUGAGAGGACGACCAGCCACACUGGGACUGAGACACGGCCCAGACUCCUACGGGAGGCAGCAGUGGGGAAUUUUGGACAAUGGGCGCAAGCCUGAUCCAGCAAUGCCGCGUGCAGGAAGAAGGCCUUCGGGUUGUAAACUGCUUUUGUACGGAACGAAACGGCUCUGGUUAAUACCCGGGGCUAAUGACGGUACCGUAAGAAUAAGCACCGGCUAACUCCGUG
rnacentral:rRNA from 1 species